rnacentral:ncRNA from 2 species
CUCUUAUCAAGAGAGGUUGAGGGAUCUGGCCCUUUGACGCCUCGGCAACCAUUGAACUUAAUUGUUCAACAGGUGCCAAAUCCAGCAGAACAAUACGUUCUGAAAGAUGAGGG